GCCAUGGUUUUGAAGGGCAUUCCCUUGCCAGAGUGUGGGAGGAGAGAGCAGCCGCCGAAAGAGCUCCAGGUGUUUGCAGGAUUUGCUUCAAAGGGCACUCCAAAAAUUGAACUGAGAAAUCCCAAGCAAGCUGCCUGAAUUUCCCUGUAAAUUCUUGGUCUACAUCCUGUAAAGGACCA